GAGAGGACAGGGUCUCUGCCUCUGAGGUUUCUCUAUCUGAUCAACAUGACAGCCAGCCCAGAGAUAAGAGUCCAGUUAACCAGGCGAGACCAGACUCAUCUGUACCCAGCUGUGAGUGUGACGGGUCUAUGAAUGAGUCACUUCAGAUUGAGGACGGAGGACAUUCUGAUAAUGAAAUGCAAAGGAAGAAGAGAUGCAGCUUUGUGUCCAAGAAUUUAAAGUCUAUGGAGGACCCCUUAUGUUUCAAGGAUGGAGCCCACACCGAUAAGCAAAUGUAGGAAAUUAAAAAAUAAUUCUGUAACUGUGAUACAGCCUAUCUGUUAAUUAAUAUGAUACAUUUUUAACAAUCAAUCAAUCAAUUAGUUAAUUUGUCAUGUGAUAUCAUAUGUAAUCUUUGGUUUCCAAGACUGUACUCCUAUGUUUGUUAAUUGUUUUGAAAGUAUCCUGUUCAUA